rnacentral:rRNA from 1 species
UACAGAGGUCUCAAGCGUUGUUCGGAUUCAUUGGGCGUAAAGGGUGCGUAGGUGGUGAGGUAAGUCAGGUGUGAAAUCUCGGAGCUUAACUCCGAAACUGCAUUUGAUACUGCCUUGCUUGAGGACUGGAGAGGAGAUUGGAAUUCAUGGUGUAGCAGUGAAAUGCGUAGAUAUCAUGAGGAAGACCAGUGGCGAAGGCGGAUCUCUGGACAGUUCCUGACACUGAUGCACGAAUGCCAGGGGAGCAAACGGG